AACGCUAGCUACAGGCUUAACACAUGCAAGUCGAGGGGCAUCAGGGUAGCAAUACCGCUGGCGACCGGCGCACGGGUGAGUAACACGUAUCCAACCUACCGUUAACUCGGGGAUAGCCUUUCGAAAGAAAGAUUAAUACCCGAUAGUAUAUUUUCUUCGCAUGUUGAAAAUAUUAAAGAAUUUCGGUUAUCGAUGGGGAUGCGUUCCAUUAGGCAGUUGGCGGGGUAACGGCCCACCAAACCUACGAUGGAUAGGGGUUCUGAGAGGAAGGUCCCCCACAUUGGAACUGAGACACGGUCCAAACUCCUACGGGAGGCAGCAGUGAGGAAUAUUGGUCAAUGGACGAAGGUCUGAACCAGCCAAGUAGCGUGAAGGAUGACUGCCCUAUGGGUUGUAAACUUCUUUUAUAUGGGAAUAAAGUUCUCCACGUGUGGAGUUUUGUAUGUACCAUUAUGAAUAAGCAUCGGCUAACUCCGUGCCAGCAGCCGCGGUAAUACGGAGGAUGCGAGCGUUAUCCGGAUUUAUUGGGUUUAAAGGGAGCGUAGGUGGACUGGUAAGUCAGUUGUGAAAGUUUGCGGCUCAACCAUAAAAUUGCAGUUGAUACUGUCAGUCUUGAGUACAGUAGAGGUGGGCGGAAUUCGUGGUGUAGCGGUGAAAUGCUUAGAUAUCACGAAGAACUCCGAUUG
rnacentral:rRNA from 1 species